rnacentral:rRNA from 1 species
UACAGAGGGUGCAAGCGUUAAUCGGAGUUACUGGGCGUAAAGGGCGCGUAGGCGGUUAUGCAAGUGAGAUGUGAAAUCCCUGGGCUUAACCUAGGAAUUGCAUCUUAGACUGUGUAACUGGAGUACAGUAGAGGGUGGUGGAAUUUCCGGUGUAGCGGUGAAAUGCGUAGAGAUCGGAAGGAACAUCAGUGGCGAAGGCGGCCACCUGGACUGAUACUGACGCUGAGGCGCGAAAGCGUGGGGAGCAAACAGG